CGNUGCCGCGUGAGUGACGAAGGNCUUAGGAUCGUAAAGCUCUUUCGCCAGGGAUGAUAAUGACAGUACCUGGUAAAGAAACCCCGGCUAACUCCGUGCCAGCAGCCGCGGUAAUACGGAGGGGGUUAGCGUUGUUCGGAAUUACUGGGCGUAAAGCGCACGUAGGCGGAUCAAUAAGUUAGAGGUGAAAUCCCAGGGCUCAACCCUGGAACUGCCUUUAAUACUGUUGGUCUAGAGUUCGAGAGAGGUAAGUGGAAUUCCGAGUGUAGAGGUGAAAUUCGUAGAUAUUCGGAGGAACACCAGUGGCGAAGGCGGCUUACUGGCUCGAUACUGACGCUGAGGUGCGAAAGUGUGGGGAGCAAACAGGAUUAGAUACCCUGGUAGUCCACUGCUGCCUCCCGUAGGA
rnacentral:rRNA from 1 species